rnacentral:rRNA from 1 species
UACGUAGGGUGCGAGCGUUAAUCGGAAUUACUGGGCGUAAAGCGUGCGCAGGCGGCGCGUUAAGACAGGUGUGAAAGCCCCCGAGCUUAACUUGGGAAUUGCGCUUGUGACUGGCGUGCUGGAGUGUGGCAGAGGGAGGUGGAAUUCCACGUGUAGCAGUGAAAUGCGUGGAGAUGUGGAGGAACACCGAUGGCGAAGGCAGCCUCCUGGGCCAGCACUGACGCUCAUGCACGAAAGCGUGGGGAGCAAACAGG